UACGUAGGUGGCAAGCGUUGUCCGGAAUUAUUGGGCGUAAAGCGCGCGCAGGUGGUUUCUUAAGUCUGAUGUGAAAGCCCACGGCUCAACCGUGGAGGGUCAUUGGAAACUGGGGAACUUGAGUGCAGGAGAGAAGAGUGGAAUUCCACGUGUAGCGGUGAAAUGCGUAGAGAUGUGGAGGAACACCAGUGGCGAAGGCGACUCUUUGGCCUGUAACUGACACUGAGGCGCGAAAGCUUGGGUAGCAAACGGG
rnacentral:rRNA from 1 species